rnacentral:sRNA from 1 species
AAUGUAUUUAUAUAUUUUAUUGUAGAUCAUGAAUAACAUAACCAAUCUUGCGUUUUUUCUUGACUGUAGAAUGACCAUCUCUGAAAUUUCAGGCAAUGGUCUGAGAUAUAGAUUUCCAGCCUCCUUGUGUGAACACUCAAGCAGACCAUUACACUCAACACAUCAGCUACU